AUACGGAGGAUGCAAGCGUUAUCCGGAUUUAUUGGGUUUAAAGGGUGCGUAGGCUGUUCGGAAAGUCAGGGGUGAAAGCCCUGCGCCUAACGCCGGAACUGCCUUCUAUACUUCCGAGCUGGAAUACGGAUGCCGUGGGAGGAAUGAGUAGCGUAGCGGUGAAAUGCAGAGAUAUUACUCAGAACACCGAUUGCGAAGGCAUCUCACGAAUCCGUCAUUGACGCUGAGGCACGAAAGCGUGGGGAUCAAACAGGAUUAGAUACCCUGGUAGUCCACGCAGUAAACGAUGAUGACUAACCGUCGGCGAUACACAGUCGGUGGCCAAGCGAAAGCGAUAAGUCAUCCACCUGGGGAGUACGUUCGCAAGAAUGAAACUCAAAGGAAUUGACGGGG
rnacentral:rRNA from 1 species